CACCGCGGUUAUACGAGAGACCCAAGUUGUUAGCCCCCGGCGUAAAGAGUGGUUAAAACACAACAUUAAACUGAGGCCGAACACCCUCAAGGCAGUUAUACGCUCCCGAGGGCAUGAAGAACAAUUACGAAAGUAGCCUCACCCCAUUUGAACCCACGAAAGCUAGGACACAAACUGGGAUUAGAUACCCCACUAUGCCUAGCCCUAAACAACGAUAUCAUCAUACACCCCCUAUCCGCCCGGGUACUACGAGCAUUAGCUUAAAACCCAAAGGACUUGGCGGUGCUUUAAAACCACCUAGAGGAGCCUGUUCUAGAACCGAUAACCCCCGUUAAACCUCACCCCUUCUUGUUUAAUCCGCCUAUAUACCACCGUCGUCAGCCUACCCUGUGAAGGACUAAUAGUAGGCAAAGUUGGCACAGCCCAAAACGUCAGGUCGAGGUGUAGCGUAUGGAGGGGGAAGAAAUGGGCUACAUUCUCUAUUCAGAGAACCACGAAUGGCACACUGAAACAUGUGCCUGAAGGAGGAUUUAGCAGUAAGCAAAGAAACAGAGUGUCUUGCUGAAACCGGCCAUGAAGCGCGCACACACCGCCCGUCACUCUCCCCAAACCUAACCAACCAAUAAUUAAUACACCACCACAAACAAAGGGGAGGCAAGUCGUAA
rnacentral:rRNA from 1 species